rnacentral:sRNA from 1 species
AAAAAGAUGAUGAGAACUAAAUAUUAUACAAGAAGAAAGAGAAGCAAGAAAAAAAAAAAAAAAAAAAAGAAAAAACUGAAACUUGAAAUAAAGUGGCGAAAGAUAUUUCAAAUUUCUUUAUAAAAAUUUUUCUUUUUUCUUUUUCCUUUUAGAAGAUAUAAUCUUAAUUAUAUUUUAUAAAAUAAAUUAAAAAAAAAUAUAAUUGUAAAAUCUUCUUAACAAGAACAAAUAUAAAAUAUUUGUAUUCCUAUUAUUUCAUCUAAUGAAAUAAUAAUUUACAAACUUGAUAAAAUAAAAAUAAUAAAAAAAUAAAAUAUAUCUUUAUGAAUAUUAGAGAUAAUUUUUAUAUAUUUUAUUUUUUUUUUAUUUAUCAAAACAACAAAAGGAAAAAAAAAAAAAGGAAAAUACAAAUAUAUAAAUAUAUAUAUAUAUAUAUAUAUAUAUACAUAUUUGUCAAUUGGACAAAAUUGUUUGCUCCUUAGACAAUAUGAACUUUUUUUUUUCUUUUUUUUUGCUUCUUCUCAUUUCUACUAUCAUGAUUGAAGAAUAAAACAAUCUUUGGUAAUCUGAUUUUUAAUGA